rnacentral:rRNA from 1 species
ACAUAUGACCAUAGGGUGUGGAAAACAGGGCUUCCCGUCCGCUCAGCCGUACUUAAGCCACACGCCGGUGAGUUAGUAGUUGGGUGGGUGACCACCAGCGAAUCCUCACUGUUGUAUGUU